rnacentral:rRNA from 1 species
CAGGUAGGUGGUUCAGUAAGUCUGUUGUGGAAGCUCCCGGCUUAACCGGGAGAGGCCAACGGAAACUACUGAACUUGAGUGUAGGAGAGGGUAUUGGAAUUCCCGGUGUAGCGGUGAAAUGCGCAGAGAUCGGGAGGAACACCAAUGGCGAAAGCAGAUACCUGGACUAUUACUGACACUAAGCUGCGAAAGCUAGGGGAGCAAACAGGAUUAGAUACCCUGGUAGUCCUAGCUGUAAACGAUGCACAUUAGACGUGAGGGGUAUCGACCCCCUUCGUGUCGACGCAAACGCAUUAAAUGUGCCGCCUGGGGAGUACGGCCGCAAGGUUGAA